GGCAUGGUGGCUCAGUGGUUAGAGCACCCGCCUCAUGGACGGAAUGUCGUGGCUUCGAACCCCGGCCGAGUCA
rfam:Strongylocentrotus purpuratus Contig87140_fixed, whole genome shotgun sequence.